GACGAACGCUGGCGGCGUGCUUAACACAUGCAAGUCGAACGGAAAGGCCCUGCUUUUGUGGGGUGCUCGAGUGGCGAACGGGUGAGUAACACGUGAGUAACCUGCCCUUGACUUUGGGAUAACUUCAGGAAACUGGGGCUAAUACCGGAUAGGAGCUCCUGCUGCAUGGUGGGGGUUGGAAAGUUUCGGCGGUUGGGGAUGGACUCGCGGCUUAUCAGCUUGUUGGUGGGGUAGUGGCUUACCAAGGCUUUGACGGGUAGCCGGCCGGAGAGGGUGACCGGCCAGGUGGGGAAGAGGAUACGGCCCGAACUCCGGGGGGGGGAAGGGGUGGGGAAUUGGGAACAAUGGGGGGAGGCUUGAAGCAGCAACGCCGCGGGGGGGAGGGCGGCCUUGGGUUUGUAAACCGUUUGCCCCUGUGAAGAAGGGGGAGUGAGGUUAAGGGAAAAAGAGGCACGGCCUAAGUAGGUC
rnacentral:rRNA from 1 species